CUACGGGGGGCUGCAGUGAGGAAUUUUGCGCAAUGGGGGAAACCCUGACGCAGCAACGCCGCGUGAGUGAAGAAGGCCCUUGGGUCGUAAAGCUCUGUCAAUGGGGAAGAAGUUAUUUGGUGUUAAUAGCAUCAAUUAUUGACGGUACCCAUGAAGGAAGCACCGGGUAACUCCGUGCCAGCAGCCGCGGUAAUACGGGGGGUGCAAGCGUUAUUCGGAAUUAUUGGGCGUAAAGGGCACGCAGGCGGCCCUGUCAGUCAGAUGUGAAAGCCCGGGGCUCAACCCCGGACGUGCAUUUGAAACAGCAGGACUUGAGUACGGGAGAGGAAAGGGGAAUUCCUGGUGUAGAGGUGAAAUUCGUAGAUAUCAGGAGGAACACCGGUGGCGAAGGCGCCUUUCUGGACCGAUACUGACGCUGAGGUGCGAAGGCGUGGGUAGCGAACGGGAUUAGAUACCCUAGUAGUC
rnacentral:rRNA from 1 species